CCUACGGGAGGCAGCAGUAGGGAAUCUUCCACAAUGGGCGAAAGCCUGAUGGAGCAACGCCGCGUGGGUGAAGAAGGUCUUCGGAGCGUAAAACCCUGUUGUUAGAGAAGAAAGUGUGGGAGAGUAACUGUUCACGUGUCGACGGUAUCGAACCAGAAAGCCACGGCAAACUACGUGCCAGCAGCCGCGGUAAUACGUAGGUGGCCAGCGUUAUCCGGAUUGAUUGGGCGUAAAGGGAACGCAGGCGGUCUUUUAAGUCUGAUGUGAAAGCCUUCGGCUUAACCGGCGUAGUGCAGUGGAAACUGCGAGUCUUGAGUGCAGAAGAGGAGAGU
rnacentral:rRNA from 1 species